AGCAGAGUGCUUAGUGGAAAGAGCACUGGCUUGGGAGUCAGAGGACAUGGGUUCUAAUCCUGUCUCUGCCA
rnacentral:tRNA from 1 species